rnacentral:ribozyme from 13 species
GCCAAAAUAGAAGAAACAAGAGCCCAAGAAAGAGAAGUAAAACCAGCGCCAUGAACCAUUACAAAAGUCCCUUUCAUCUCUUUUGUUUUCAACAAUUCUUCUUCUUCUUCUUCUUCUCUCUCUUUUC